UCAUACUUGAGGCUUUCCUAAGUGUUGUCCCAAUUUACCUGGUUUGAAGGGUUCUUUGUUUUUGUUUGCUUCUGAGGAUGGAAUUUAGGGCCUCACAAAAGCUAAGCACAUGCUCUACCACUGACCUGUAUUCCCAGCCCAAAAACAAAUCACAAAAGGUUACCAAACAUAAAGAAAUUAAUCACUAUUUUGGUCAGCAGAAACAAGGACAGGUUGAAACCUUUUGCAAGAUUAGACACAAUAUUGAUACUAUAAUAACAAUAAGAAAAGAAAGGAGAUGGAACCACAAAAAUAAGCCAGCAACAAAACAUUCAGACAACCAGACCUGCAACUGUAUACCCAUAGUUCACAUCAGGUAUCCUUCUUGGUGUAGUAAAUUCUGUGGAUUUUUUUAACCUUAAUUUUUUUUGGUACCAGGGAUUGAAGUCAAGGUCACUCAACCACUGAGCCUCAUCCCCAGCCCUAUUUUGUAUUUUAUUUAGAGACAGGUCUCACUGAGUUGCUUAGCACCUUACCAUUGCUGAGGCUGGCUUUGAACUCGUGAUCCUCCUGUCUCAGCCUCCAGAGCCGCUAGGAUUACAGGCAUGCACCACCAUGCCCAGCUCUGUGGAUUUUUUUAAAUAUUGGGGAUUGAACCUGGGGUGCUUUACCAUUGAGCUCCAUUCCCACCCAGCCCUUUUAAUUUUUUUUUUUUUUUAAAUUUUGAUUCAGGGUCUCACUAAGUUGCUAAGGCUGGCCUAGAACUUUUGAUCUUCUUGCCUCAGUCACAAGCAGCUGGGAUUACAGAUGUGUGCUACUGCACCCAAUUAUAGCUCCUUUUUAUCACUGAAUUAAUAUCCAAUCGAACGAAUGUAAUAGUUAAUCUAACCAAGUUCGGGCAAUUAUGAAUAAAGCUGCUAUAAACAUCUGUGAGCAUGUAAAUUUUUAAUUUAUUUGGGUAAAUACCAAGGAGUGUAGAUUAUAUGGUAAGAAUGUGUUUUGGUUUGUGAGAAAGCAC
rnacentral:lncRNA from 1 species